AAGUGUUUUUGAAAUAUGAGAACAGUGUUCGCUCGUUAGCAGUAAAGUGGUGCUUACAUUAGACGAUCGCGAUUGCACUGGAUCUGAAGAAAAUAGGAAACAGAAAAAAGUUAAUUCACUCGAGAGAAACCAAAAGAGAGAUUUUUAUUUUUCCAUCCGGGAUUGUUCGGUUUACUCACUAUUUCUCUUGCAAUGCUGAUUCUGGAUCUGGAGUUUUGUUGACGUUUGGGAGAAUUGUUUCUGCUGUCCAUCGAGAGAGAGAGAGAGAGACACACGGUUGCAGAAACUGGCGAGCCAUCCCAUUUCAUAGAAUCUGGAAGUUGUUCAUCACACUGGUAGGAAAUAUUGUGUAAACCUGUUUUUUACUUUUUGGACACAUUUUUUGCUAAGCAUCGAAACUCUUUUCACUCAAGGAUCUGAGUAUUUUAUUGGUUACACGUAGGACAGUUAUUUCAAAGGACUAAGUAUUUGCUUUGGACUGAUACCUUUUCAUCUGGUUAUUUACCUGUGCAUUUUUGUUGUUUACUUUCUGUUGAGUUUUCUGAAAGAGUGUAAAACAUUGUUGGUUAUUUUAAGAGUGAAACUUUGAAUUUACAUUUUCAAGAGUGUGAAGUUGUAUCAAACCAAAGAGUUAUAUAUAUUAUAUCAUAAUCUCAUUAAACUAUAGAUAAAUAAGUAUAAAAUAAAUAUAAAUAUAUAAUUAAUAUAAUCAAAUAAUAGAUAAACAUAUUAAGAGGUAUUUAGGAGCUUUACAUAAAGGGAGAGUUAAAGUGACUACUGUAAGUAGUUAUUUCCAUUAAUUGAAAAGUGUUUGGUUCACUUGAGAUUUACCAUUGUCUAUUCAAAUUGUUAUUCUUUUGCUCUUUCAAACAAUCAAAAUCUACAUAAAUACUUACCUUUUCCAGAAGUUGUUGUUGUGUUCUUUCUCCUGCUGCAAUCCUGACUCCUGAGCGAACGUAGUCUUCUGAUCCGGCCCACACAUACAUAGAAGUAGCUGUGAAACCAAAUUAUUUCCUUCCGUGCAUUCUUCGCGGGUGUUACAGUGAGACAGAAGAUCACUUAUCCAACUCCAAAAUAUUGGCUUGGUCCAAAAUCUGGUGAGCUGCCAUACUUCAAAAGUGACUGAUUUGUAAUGUUUUUCAUAAGCAACAACAACUCUGCACAACACACAUAUAACGAUU
ensembl:lncRNA